rnacentral:rRNA from 1 species
GGGUCAGUAGGUUGGUCGUGCCACCGGUACGUACUGGUCUCACUGAUUCCUCCUUCCUGAAGAACCGUAAUGCCAUUAAUUUGGUGUUGCGGGGAAACAGGGCUGUUACUUUUAAAAAAUUAGAGUGUUUAAAGCAAGCUAACGCUUGAAUACAUUAGCAUGGAAUAAUGAAAUAGGACGAUCGAUCCUAUUUUGUUGGUUUCUAGGAUUGACGUA